GUCUUCUUUUAUGAGAGUGUUGCUGGGGGAUCAUACGGCUCAGUAGUUCCUGUUCAUCUUUUCGAACUUUUUUUUCUCCAGUGGUUGUUAUUCUCUAAAAGAUGCCCUCCUAGUGACCCAUUCCCCUAUAAUAUGAGAUUUUGGACAAUAGAGAAAUUUUAGUUUAUAUACCUCUUCAACGACUAUAAAAAUUCUCUUCUUCUUCUCUUCUAAUUCUAUCCCCUCAACAAGAAAGAAAUAAGGACAAGACAAGGAAAAGCAUUAUUACACAACUGAUUGACAGAAUUGUAGUACUGUUAGACCAGUUACAUAUCCAGGUAAGAUGGGCAACAUGUCGUUGGUGUUUCUGACCACUAAAGGAUCUCAAUCACACAUUUAGCUGUCUGACAUCCACGCAGAUCCAAAAUUACAGCAAUUCAGCAAUUUAUGUGUUUAGUCCUCCUUUACAAGUAUGCAAGCUUUUUGAGAAAU
rnacentral:misc_RNA from 1 species